rnacentral:lncRNA from 1 species
CGGGGAGGGAGAGGUUGGAGACAGGGAAAGGAGGAAGGGAUGAGAGGAGGGAAAAUCCCCAAGGAUGGAAAACAGGAGGUCAAAGCCCCAAAUAUGGCCACCCAACUGGGGGGUCCAAGUUAGGGCCUGUAUAGGGCUCUGGGGGCUCAGAACAGCUGCCCACUCACCCCAGCAGCCGGUAUGAGUCACUGGGGUGGUGGUGGGGUAGGAAAUAGCCCAAACUGGCAGUGCGGGAAAGGGAGCAGGGCCAGCACGUUCCUCAGGAUCCCUAGGGGGUGGAGGAGCAGGGUCCAGCCUGGGCUCUGAGCCCUGAACCCCAUCCUCUAAGCAGGACAAGGGCACAGAGAAGUUGUCCCACCCUUUGUAGGGCAGGCCAAGUAGUAGGAAGCCUGGGGUUUAAUGAUUGGCUUUUCUCUCCCUCUCUCAACCUGUUUCCCUUUCUGCAAAAAAAAAAAAAAAAAGUGGAGUAGGUCUUUUAAUGUUAGGGUUGGAGGCGAGGGGGAGAAACAGGAUUCAGAAACCCUUUUCUAGAUUCCUUCCAGAAAUAUGUGUGUUUGGACUUUGCCGACAGUUGAAGGCAUUCUGAAGUGCCCACAAACUCAUUCCUAGCCACCAGAUAAGAACUCCUGAAUUAGAGCUGGCCCAAGAGAAUUCCAACUGCGACAUUUAAUAGCGCCCCAGAGCAAGGGAAAGGCUUUUAUAAAGGCCGUUGGAGCCAGAGGGGUGUGUGAGCAGAAGCUGGAGACCCCUGGGUGGAAUAAGGAAGAUUUUAUCCAAAUGGCAGCUGACUUUCCUGCCCGGGCCCCCUCUUGCUGCGUCUGCCUGUCCUUGCCUUUCUGUCCUUAAUUCUGAGGGAGGAGUGUUUCAGAGGAUCCUGGAGCACAGGUGACCGGCUCUCUCCCACUGAAGCUGCUGGUGAAGACAAACCAGCGACAAGACCCGGUCAGAGGGGCUGGCGCUGCCCCACGCCCCUCUGCCAGCUGACGCCUCCUGCUAAAAACAGCGGGGCCCGGGGGGACUAUGGGCUUUCAGGCUUCCCCCUCCACGCCAGGACAGGUAUUAAAGAGGCCGACGCCCAGCCAGGCCGACUGGACACCAUGCUCUUCACCGAGACGGCCCACUUCGUGGUGAAUUUUCUUCUGUACCGGCGCCCCCGGGCCACUCUCCCGUACCGCCUGGACCAGGAGUUGUGUUUCUGGGGCUGCCGGGGCCCGGCCUUGCCGCCUGUCGCCACCCGCAGCAGCCUGGGCGAUUACUGGCUGAGCCCGCAGCGCCGGCGCCCACCGGGCGCCACCUGGCGCUGGCCCGCUCGCAAUAUGCUGCUACUGCCAGGGGCCACCGGGCUGGCGGAUAUACCCUCGGCGCGCUGGCCCAGCUGCUACGGCGUUCGCCCGCGCCUCACGUGAGCAGCCGGGUUGGGGCGGAGGCCCUGGAAGUGAAGGGCGGGGCCUACGGUAGGGGGCGGGGUCUGUGGGAAAGGGCGGAUCCCCAGAGCCCGGUCAGUUAGGAGUAGGAUAGGCUGGGCUGGACGGUGGCUGGG